rnacentral:tRNA from 1 species
GUCAAGGUGGCAGAACCCGGUAAUUGCAAAAGGCCUAAGCCCUUUUUACAGGGGUUCGAACCCCCUCCUUAACU